GUUGUGGCUCAGCGGCAGAGCGCUUGCCUCGCAUGUGCGAGACCCUGGGUUCGGUCCUCAGCAUCACG
rnacentral:tRNA from 1 species